rnacentral:rRNA from 1 species
CAGCGCCACAAGUGGGGACCUUUUUUAUUGGGCCUAAAGCGUCCGUAGCUGGUUUAGUAAAUCUCUUGUGAAAUCGUUAAGCUCAACUUAACGGCAUGCAGGAGACACUACUUUACUUGGGACCGGGAGAGGUAUGGAGUAUUUCGGGGGAACCGGUAAAAUGGGAUAAUCCUCGAAAGACUACCUGUGGCGAAGGCGCCAUACUAGAACGGAUCUGACAGUGAGGGACGAAGGCUAGGGGAGCAAACCGGAUUAGAUACCCGAGUAGUCC